AACGGCCAUACCAUGCUGAAUAUACCGGUUCUCGUUAGAUCACCGAAGUCAAGCAUCAUUGGGCGCGGUCAGUGCUUGGGUGGGUGACCACCUG
rnacentral:rRNA from 1 species